UGGAGUCUGGGAGAGAUUUAAGGGCAAAGAUAUAUGCCAAACUAAGUAAAGAGAACUUGGUGGACCGCGAUCGAGUUGACUCGGGUGUUUCGGGUCCAGAUGUUGGGUGGGUUUCUGAGUUGGUGAAGUGAAAUGAAGGACGAUGAAGUUUCCGAUUUUUUUUAUUAUUCUCUGACUUUUGUGAAUAUGAAGAUGAUGGUGAUUUGGUGUGUAAAUAUGAUGCUGUAGAGGGGCUGAGAGAGAAACCAAUAGUCUCUCCGUUUUUGUGGCAUUUUGGGAGGAGAAAAAAAAAAGAUGCAAGCCUUUUCUUGUAAAGCAAUAAAUGAAGUAUUUCUUAGGGUUCUGCCGGGAACGGGUGGUGGUUUGUUCGUCAAACUUCUUAAAGAUUUGUAUUUUGAAUGAUCAUUUUGUCUAAUUUUAUCGGAUAUAAUUACAUCUUUGUAAGUAACCUUAUGUUUAUUAUUCUAAUCAAUGUAAUGUUAUAUUUCAAGUUGAAUUUCGAGUGAUCUUUUUUU
rnacentral:lncRNA from 1 species